AAAUCUCAACCUCCUUUGUUUCUUCUGAGGGCCAAAGGAGGCUUGGACUUUGGAGGUUUUUGCUGGCGUCUUCUCUUUGAAAGGCCAGCUCCUCUUAAAUGAAUUAGCGGGGUCCUCUUUGCCGAUCCUUGACAUGUGAUAAGAUGCUUCCGUGUCUUGGUUCCUGGCUCUGUUGCCUUUGGGACCCGCUUCUAACCGUCUUGACCUUGCAUCGAGACAACGUUCGAGCUCGUCUCCCUUCUUGGGAAACCCCCUCGACCUCACGAAC
rnacentral:misc_RNA from 1 species